CAAUAGCGUAUAUUAAAGUUGUUGCAGUUAAAAAGCUCGUAGUUGGAUUUGUGGCGUACGGUGGGUUCCGGGCACUUGUUGUCUGAGUAACUUGCUGUUGCCAUCCUUGGGUGGAACCUGUGUGGCAUUAGGUUGUCGUGCAGGGGAUGCCCAUCAUUUACUGUGAAAAAAUUAGAGUGUUCAAAGCAGGCUUAUGCCGUUGAAUAUAUUAGCAUGGAAUAAUGAGAUAGGACUUUUUUGCUAUUUUGUUGGUUUGCGCAAAGAGGUAAUGAUUAAUAGGGACAGUUGGGGGUAUUCGUAUUCCAUUGUCAGAGGUGAAAUUCUUGGAUUUUUGGAAGACGAACUACUGCGAAAGCAUUCACCAAGGAUGUUUUCAUUAA
rnacentral:rRNA from 1 species